UUUGUCAUAUCCACACUGUAUUAUGGUAUAAUAUAUGUAAAAAAAAAAUCUUCUCAAUCACCAAAUUUUAGGUUUCUUCUUCAGUACGCAACAAAGUGAAAAAACUAUAAAUGAAUGAUUCAUAUUAUAUAUAAAUGGGUAACAACUUAAAUUACAUAAUGAAGAUCAAUAUUAUUCGUAUUCGGCAUAUUCACAUUGUAUUAUGGUAUAAAAGAUGUAAAUAAA
rnacentral:lncRNA from 1 species